CGAGGAGGCCAGGUGGCCGCCGGUCCUCGCGCAGCUUCGGCGGGGACGGGAGGAAAGUCCGGGCUCCGCAGGGCAGGGUGCCGGGUAACACCCGGUGGGGGCGACCCCGAGGACAGCGCCACAGAAAAGACACCGCCUCCCGCCACGGCGGGCGGUAAGGGUGAAAUGGUGAGGUAAGAGCUCACCGCGCGACGGGCGAUCGUCGCGGCAUGGCAAACCCCACCCGGAGCAAGACCAAAUAGGAGGGCGACUCCGAGGCGGCUCUGCCGUCGGCGGGGGAAGGGCGGCCCGCCCGGGGCCCUCGGGUAAAGGUCGCUCAAGGCGGGCGGAAACGUCCGCCGUAGAGAAAUGGCCACCCCGCGGCGACGUGCUCCGUCGCCGCGCACAGAACCCGGCUUACGGCCUCCUCGGACG
rnacentral:RNase_P_RNA from 1 species